rnacentral:rRNA from 1 species
ACGAACGCUGGCGGCACGCUUAACACAUGCAAGUCGAACGAGAGAAGAGAAGCUUGCUUUUCUGAUCUAGUGGCGGACGGGUGAGUAACACGUGAGCAAUCUGCCUUUCAGAGGGGGAUACCGAUUGGAAACGAUCGUUAAUACCGCAUAACAUAAUUGAACCGCAUGAUUUGAUUAUCAAAGAUUUAUCGCUGAAAGAUGAGCUCGCGUCUGAUUAGCUAGUUGGUAAGGUAACGGCUUACCAAGGCGACGAUCAGUAGCCGGACUGAGAGGUUGAUCGGCCACAUUGGGACUGAGACACGGCCCAGACUCCUACGGGAGGCAGCAGUGGGGAAUAUUGCACAAUGGAGGAAACUCUGAUGCAGCGAUGCCGCGUGAGGGAAGAAGGUUUUAGGAUUGUAAACCUCUGUCUUCAGGGACGAAAAAAGACGGUACCUGAGGAGGAAGCUCCGGCUAACUACGUGCCAGCAGCCGCGGUAAUACGUAGGGAGCGAGCGUUGUCCGGAAUUACUGGGUGUAAAGGGAGCGUAGGCGGGAUCGCAAGUCAGAUGUGAAAACUAUGGGCUUAACCCAUAAACUGCAUUUGAAACUGUGGUUCUUGAGUGAAGUAGAGGUAAGCGGAAUUCCUAGUGUAGCGGUGAAAUGCGUAGAUAUUAGGAGGAACAUCAGUGGCGAAGGCGGCUUACUGGGCUUUAACUGACGCUGAGGCUCGAAAGCGUGGGGAGCAAACAGGAUUAGAUACCCUGGUAGUCCACGCCGUAAACGAUGAUUACUAGGUGUGGGGGGACUGACCCCUUCCGUGCCGCAGCAAACGCAAUAAGUAAUCCACCUGGGGAGUACGACCGCAAGGUUGAAACUCAAAGGAAUUGACGGGGGCCCGCACAAGCAGUGGAGUAUGUGGAUUAAUUCGAAGCAACGCGAAGAACCUUACCAGGUCUUGACAUCGUAUGCGUACCUCAGAGAUGAGUGAAAUCUCUUCGGAGACAUAUAGACAGGUGGUGCAUGGUUGUCGUCAGCUCGUGUCGUGAGAUGUUGGGUUAAGUCCCGCAACGAGCGCAACCCUUACUGUUAGUUGCUACGCAAGAGCACUCUAGCAGGACUGCCGUUGACAAAACGGAGGAAGGUGGGGAUGACGUCAAAUCAUCAUGCCCCUUAUGACCUGGGCCUCACACGUACUACAAUGGCUGUUAACAGAGGGAUGCAAAGCCGCGAGGUGGAGCGAACCCCUAAAAGCAGUCUUAGUUCGGAUUGUAGGCUGCAACCCGCCUACAUGAAGUCGGAAUUGCUAGUAAUCGCAGAUCAGCAUGCUGCGGUGAAUACGUUCCCGGGUCUUGUACACACCGCCCGUCACGCCAUGGGAGUCGGUAACACCCGAAGCCUGUAGUCUAACCGCAAGGAGGACGCAGUCGAAGGUGGGAUUGAUGACUGGGGUG